rnacentral:rRNA from 1 species
GGUGUGAACAUGGAUGGACCUGCGGCGCAUUAGCUGGUUGGUGAGGUAACGGCCCACCAAGGCGAUGAUGCGUAGCCGACCUGAGAGGGUGAACGGCCACAUUGGGACUGAGACACGGCCCAAACUCCUACGGGAGGCAGCAGUAGGGAAUUUUCGUCAAUGGGGGGAACCCUGAACGAGCAAUGCCGCGUGUGUGAAGAAGGUCUUCGGAUCGUAAAGCACUGUUGUAAGUGAAGAAUGCCAUAUAGAGGAAAUGCUAUGUGGGUGACGGUAGCUUACCAGAAAGCCACGGCUAACUACGUGCCAGCAGCCGCGGUAAUACGUAGGUGGCAAGCGUUAUCCGGAAUCAUUGGGCGUAAAGGGUGCGUAGGUGGCACGAUAAGUCUGAAGUAAAAGGCAACAGCUCAACUGUUGUAUGCUUUGGAAACUGUCGAGCUAGAGUGCAGAAGAGGGCGAUGGAAUUCCAUGUGUAGCGGUAAAAUGCGUAGAUAUAUGGAGGAACACCAGUGGCGAAGGCGGUCGCCUGGUCUGUAACUGACACUGAUGCACGAAAGCGUGGGGAGCAAAUAGGAUUAGAUACCCUAGUAGUCCACCCCCGUAAACGAUGAGAACUAAGUGUUGGAGAGAUUCAGUGCUGCAGUUAACGCAAUAAGUUCUCCGCCUGGGGAGUAUGCACGCAAGUGUGAAACUCAAAGGAAUUGACGGGGGCCCGCACAAGCGGUGGAGUAUGUGGUUUAAUGCGAAGCAACGCGAAGAACCUUACCAGGCCUUGACAUGGAUAUAAAUGUUCUAGAGAUAGAAAGAUAGCUAUAUAUCACACAGGUGGUGCAUGGUUGUCGUCAGCUCGUGUCGUGAGAUGUUGGGUUAAGUCCCGCAACGAGCGCAACCCUUAUCUUCAGUAGCCAUCAUUCAGUUGGGCACUCUGGAGAGACUGCCGUGGAUAACACGGAGGAAGGUGGGGAUGACGUCAAAUCAUCAUGCCCCUUAUGUCUUGGGCUACACACGUGCUACAAUGGCUGGUAACAAAGUGACGCAAGACGGCGACGUUAAGCAAAUCACAAAAACCCAGUCCCAGUUCGGAUUGUAGUCUGCAACUCGACUACAUGAAGCUGGAAUCGCUAGUAAUCGCGAAUCAGCAUGUCGCGGUGAAUACGUUCCCGGGCCUUGCACUCAGCGCCCGUC